UCCGAUAUGGUGUAAAGGCUAACAUUACCGCCUUUCAUGUAAAAUCCUCGUAAGGCAUUUACGCGGUAGCUCGGGGUUCGAUUCCCCGUAUCGGAG